rnacentral:rRNA from 1 species
AUGGCGGGUCCCUUCAACGGCGCCGCGAGGAGCGUGGCGGCUGUGGCCGCGCUGCUGCUGCUGUUGGCCGUGUCGGUUACGGAGGCGGCGACCGGCAGCACAGUGGUCGCCCGCAUAGUGUUCUGCGACCAGUGCAAGGACGACACCCGCGGCCUCUUCGACUACCCGCUCUACGGGGCGUGGGUGGCGAUCCAGUGCGGUGGUGGCGACUCCCCGAUCACGGUGCGGGAGUGCAACACCAACUGGUUCCGCGGCUUCUCUGUGUGCAUGGAGGGUCGCCGGACAUGA